rnacentral:rRNA from 1 species
CCUACGGGAGGCAGCAGUGAGGAAUAUUGGUCAAUGGGCGGGAGCCUGAACCAGCCAAGUCGCGUGAGGGAAGACGGUCCUAUGGAUUGUAAACCUCUUUAGGCGGGGAGCAAUGCCGGGCACGCGUGCCCGGAGGGAGAGUACCCGCAGAAUAAGCAUCGGCAAACUCCGUGCCAGCAGCCGCGGUAAUACGGAGGAUGCGAGCGUUAUCCGGAUUGAUUGGGGUUAAAGGGUGCGUAGGCGGAUUUUUAAGUCAGCGGUAAAAUGACCGGGCUCAACCCGGGCCGGCCGUUGAAACUGGGGAUCUUGAGUGGGCGAGAAGUAUGCGGAAUGCGUGGUGUAGCGGUGAAAUGCAUAGAUAUCACGCAGAACUCCGAUUGCGAAGGCAGCAUACCGGCGCCCGACUGACGCUGAGGCACGAAAGCGUGGGGAUCGAACAGGAUUAGAUACCCUUGUAGUC